GACGGUCUUCGGAUUGUAAACCCCUUUCAGUAGGGACGAAGCGCAAGUGACGGUACCUGCAGAAGAAGCACCGGCUAACUACGUGCCAGCAGCCGCGGUAAUACGUAGGGUGCGAGCGUUGUCCGGAAUUACUGGGCGUAAAGAGCUCGUAGGCGGUUUGUCACGUCGUCUGUGAAAUCCCUCGGCUUAACCGGGGGCGUGCAGGCGAUACGGGCAGACUUGAGUACUACAGGGGAGACUGGAAUUCCUGGUGUAGCGGUGAAAUGCGCAGAUAUCAGGAGGAACACCGGUGGCGAAGGCGGGUCUCUGGGUAGUAACUGACGCUGAGGAGCGAAAGCAUGGGUAGCGAACAGGAUUAGAUACCCUGGUAGUCCAUGCCGUAAACGGUGGGCGCUAGGUGUGGGGUCCUUCCACGGACUCCGUGCCGUAGCUAACGCAUUAAGCGCCCCGCCUGGGGAGUACGGCCGCAAGGCUAAAACUCAAAUGAUUU
rnacentral:rRNA from 1 species